UUAUCUGAUUGAUGACGUUUAUCUGAUCAUAGUUAAUAGAGGAGAUGGUUUGGAAACUCGCUAGCAUUAAUGCUAGCGAGUUUCCAAACCAUCUCCUCUAUUAACUAUGAUCAGAUAAACGUCAUCAUUA